UACGGAUGUGGCGAGCGUUACUCGGUAUUACUGGGUGUAAAGGGUCCGCAGGCGGCCAAUUAAGUAAGAGGUGAAAUCUUUCGGCUCAACCGAAAAACGGCCUCUUAUACUGUUUGGCUAGAGGAUAAGAGAGGAAAGCGGAACUGCCGGUGUAAGGGUGAAAUCUGUGGAUAUCGGCAGGAACGCCAGUGACGAAGGUGGCUUUCUGGCUUAUACCUGACGCUCAGGGACGAAAGCUAGGGGAGAGAACAGGAUUAGAUACCCCCGUA
rnacentral:rRNA from 1 species